GACGAACGCNGGCGGCGUGCCUAAUACAUGCAAGUCGAGCGAAGUUUUUCUGGUGCUUGCACUAGAAAAACUUAGCGGCGAACGGGUGAGUAACACGUAAAGAACCUGCCUCAUAGACGGGGACAACUAUUGGAAACGAUAGCUAAUACCGGAUAACAGCAUAAAUCGCAUGAUAUAUGUUUAAAAGUUGGUUUCGGCUAACACUAUGAGAUGGCUNUGCGGUGCAUUAGCUAGUUGGUGGGGUAAAGGCCUACCAAGGCGACGAUGCAUAGCCGACCUGAGAGGGUGAUCGGCCACACUGGGACUGAGACACGGCCCAGACUCCUACGGGAGGCAGCAGUAGGGAAUCUUCGGCAAUGGGGGCAACCCUGACCGAGCAACGCCGCGUGAGUGAAGAAGGUUUUCGGAUCGUAAAGCUCUGUUGUAAGUCAAGAACGAGUGUGAGAGUGGAAAGUUCACACUGUGACGGUAGCUUACCAGAAAGGGACGGCUAACUACGUGCCAGCAGCCGCGGUAAUACGUAGGUCCCGAGCGUUGUCCGGAUUUAUUGGGCGUAAAGCGAGCGCAGGCGGUUUGAUAAGUCUGAAGUUAAAGGCUGUGGCUCAACCAUAGUUCGCUUUGGAAACUGUCAAACUUGAGUGCAGAAGGGGAGAGUGGAAUUCCAUGUGUAGCGGUGAAAUGCGUAGAUAUAUGGAGGAACACCGGUGGCGAAAGCGGCUCUCUGGUCUGUAACUGACGCUGAGGCUCGAAAGCGUGGGGAGCGAACAGG
rnacentral:rRNA from 1 species